GUAAACGAUUAUAUCAUACUCAGACAAGCAAAAAACCAUCCACGAGUUGGGGCCCUCUGGCAGAGCCCAAGCCUGGAACCACCCAGGCAGGAGCCUUGCCAAAGCAACAGAGGUAGGGUAAACAAAGGGUAAGGGGUGUCACCGCCCAGGGAGCCCAGGGGCUCGACGGGGGCUUGUCCCGGGGACCGGAGUCCCCUUUCAGUAAUGAUCCUUCCGCAGGUUCACCUACGGAAA
rnacentral:misc_RNA from 1 species